UUGCGAUUUGGAGCUGUAUACAGUUGACGUAAGAAAAAAUCUAAAUGUCUGUGUUUGCAGCCAGCAUUUUCAGACAGAGGAUUUCGAAACGGAACUGAAGUCUCACUGAUGGGGUUGCAAUGUCGUUGAGCUUUGAAAAUUGAUGAUAUUCCAUUGAAAUUCCCCUUCACCUCAAAGAGGAAGGCAUCUGAUCCGCGCAGCAGAAAAUAAGUUAAGCUGAGUAGUACAGCGCCUGUAGACCCAUUGGAUGAAAGCUUUCAGCCUGAAAUAAGCUCAAGCUCAACAACAUCUGAAUUUGAAACAAGCCAGGACAGCCAAAGAUGAACACAGAUCAUUGUAUGGUUACACAUCCUCAUGAUCAGUCUUAAUGGCUUUCCAGGAGACUUGCAGUACAAACACAUCUUCUGCAAGAGGUCGAAGCAGUGGGAAGUGAAAAGGUGUACGAGAGGCCACAAGGCUGUGAAGUGCAGAAAAGAGCAGACUGUUGUCUACAAGGAGCCAGAGUCACAGCUCCACUAAACAUCUCUGCCAACAUCACCACAGCGCCAAAGCCUGCUAAACCAGCUAUCAUUUCCCAACACAAGAAGAGGUUCACCAGCUGAAAAACAUUCAGGAACCUACCUGGAACAUUCAACCAACAUAACAUCCAUAUUUUGUAAUAUAAUAUGUAAAUGCCUAGUAUGAUUACAACUGCAUUGUGGUAUAUAUGUUGCUAGCUGUUGUACAUACAGUUGAAGUGGGAUGUUUACAUACACUUCGGUUGGAGUCAUUCAAAUUUGAUUUUCAACCACAAAACAAAUUUCUUGUUAAUAAACUAUAGUUUUGCCAAGUCGGU